GUGCUUGCUUAGGCAGCACAUAUACUAAAAUUGGAACAAUACAGAGAUUAGCAUGGUGCCUACGCAAGGAUGACAUUCAAAUUUGUGAAGCCUUCCAUAUUUUU
ensembl:snRNA U6 U6 spliceosomal RNA